CGUCAUCAUCUUUCCAAAUCUUGAUUUUCUCACCUUAUGUGUCAGUUAUAAUUCCUAGUUUUGUGUCAUUUGGAUUUGGAUAAGCAGAUUGCCUAAGCCUUUAUCCAAGGUGCUGAUGCUUUAAAUAGUCAAGCCCAUAAUUUUUGGUCAAUGUCCUUCCAAAAAAGACAAUAUUUGUGAAUAUUUCGUCUUCAGAAAUGCUUCCAUGUAAAAACCAAUCUGACAGUGGUUUAUGGUCUUGAGAUGCAGGGGGUCACCCUACAGUUUGGGGAACAUUAUUGCUGGUGGCUGAACCAUUUGUAGAGAGCCUAAGCACACUAAUCAAUCCCUUGAAGGGUACCAGAGAACGUUGAGAGGGGAGAUUUGAAAUGGAAGAACCCUAGAUUAGAGACAUUGGGGACUUGUGUGUGAUGUUACAUAGACUCCCCUUAUUUCCCCACCCAGGGUGGCAUCCCUUGUUACCAAGAUUUUAGUAGGGAAAAAAUGCAGUUCAGUAAAAUCAUCAACAUCUUCUAUCGAUUAUCCUCCACCUUGACCAUGAAGGGAACAAAGGACAAUUUCUUAACCCUUCUCAUGUGGCACCUUGGUCAUCAUUUCACUCCAUCCAGUUUAGAUGGCUUUGUUGCUGACAUUUCCUUCCCAUUCACAUGAUCAUAGUCAUUGUGUGUCUUUUUUCCUUAGAUUUGAACCCAAGGGAUUAUCUUUGGAACUUUGGACACGUUGCUGGGCCUCCAUCCCUCCCAGGAGCUUGUCCAUACUAGCCGAAAGCCCAGGAUAUUCGGAUACCGAGGUUUCUUUGAGGCACCACAAUCCAAGGAGUUGAAUCCAGUGGGCAAACCAACAGUAGGAGCAGAGAUUGUGUUGGAGCGGCCAUGGCUGGAUUAAGAAGAAACGUAUUGAAUAUGGAGAAGGUGGUGACCCUUUGAGUGAAGCAACUCACAUCUGCAAUGACUUCAUCAUGCAUGGGGACCAUUUGUGGUCUCUGGCCCAUCUCUGUGGUCAUAUGGCGCCCUCUUUUUGGGUUAGGACCCCUGUGGCUCGUCCUGACUCAGCUUAACCUGUAAAUCUACAGGGAUGGAGAGCGGGCACCAUUUUUUAGCCAUUGGCCACUGGGAGCCAAGGGGCACCAUUCAGAAACUGAUUUCAGAAGGUCUCCACGAGAAUCCUCCUCUGAUGUCUCCUCGUGGCCUAGAGUAGAGCUGAGUGAGACUCUUCUCUCUUCUUCAUACUACUAGACAUUUUAAUUUAUGUUAGUAGGACUUAACUAUGGAGGAAAGACCCUUAUUGGCGCCAGUCAGUGACUCUUUGAAC
rnacentral:lncRNA from 1 species